rnacentral:rRNA from 1 species
AUGGUCCAGCGACCACCCGACCUGGACACGGCCUGUGCCUUGGCGCUACUUCAGGAGGAGGUGGCUGACAACGCGCGUGCGGAGGUGCAGCGCCCCACGCCUACGCGCCCUCCUGACGCGCCGACGAGACCCAAUGUACCGCUUCCUAUGCCUCUUCCACCGGCGCGCGCGACACCACCAGCUCCAGCCGCGGAUCGCCGCGGUACCGAUGCCGCGCGAGCUGACUCCACCAAGCUCAAGGCCCUGCGCGACUACCGUCGAGCGUGGGGGCUGUGCUUCAAGUGCGGCGAGCGUUGGGGACCUGACCACACGUGCCCCACGUCAGUCCAACUCCACGUCGUCGAAGAACUUCUGGAGCUCUUCCGCAUCGACGCCACGACUGCACCAACCCAGCCGGAGGCCGUCCCAGAAGAAGUGGUCAUGGCUAUCUCCAAGCCGGCCCUGAAUGGGGGUGUAUCGAACAAGGCGUUCCAGUUGCGUGCAUGGAUCCAGGGGCGUGAAGCGUUGAUGCUUGUCGACUCCGGCAGCACCACUUCGUUCAUCAAUGAGCGGCUGGCGACGACCAUCCAGGGCGUCCAACCUCUUCCCCGCGCCUAUCAAGUACGCGUCGCCGACGGGGGAGCACUCGCCUGCUCUGCAAGUGUGCCACAAUGUCAAUGGUGCACUCAAGGCCACCAGUUCACGACGGAUAUGAAGGUGCUGGCGCUUGGGACGCACGAUGCAAUCUUGGGGAUGGACUGGCUCGAGGAGCACAGCCCCAUGACGGUCGACUGGCGUGCAAAGUUCAUUGAGAUGCCGUCACCCGCGGGACCGAUUCGCCUCCGUGGGCACGAGUCUAAUUCGUCGACUUGCACGGUCAUCAACGCCCUUCAACUCCAACAACUCUGCAACUCCGGUGCAAUCACUCAUAUGGCGUUGAUCUACGUGACUGCCAGUGAGGACAACAGCAGCGUCACCAACUCACCAGAGAUACAAGCAAUUCUAGAAGAAUUCUCUGAUGUGUUCAAGGAGCCAGAAGGGUUACCUCCACAUCGCGACUGCGAUCACAAGAUUCCUCUCAUCCCAGGAGCCCAGCCGGUGAACAUCCGGCCCUAUCGACACAAGCCAGAGCAUAAGAAGGAAAUUGAUGCUCAGGUAGAGGAACUGCUUCGCAAAGGGAUUAUUCGGAAGAGUACCAGUCCUUUCUGCUCACCAGCUAUCCUCGUCAAGAAGAAAGACGGAACGUGGAGACUCUGCAUCGAUUACAGACAUCUCAAUGCCAUCACCUACAUUGCCAAGUACCCCGUGCCCAUCAUCGAGGAAUUACUGGAUGAGUUACAUGGUGCGGCAUGGUUCUCCAAGUUGGACCUGCGCUCAGGAUAUCACCAGAUCCGUUUGGCAGAGGGUGAAGAGUACAAGACCGCGUUUCAGACGCACUCAGGCCACUACGAAUUCUUGGUGGUCUCUUUCGGGUUAGCGGGUGGACCGGCCACAUUCAACGGAUCUCUCACAACUACACUCAAACCAGUCGACCGCAAGUGCGUUCUCCUCUUCUUCGACGAUAUCCUGGUGUUCAGCAAGACUCUGCGAGACUACAUCAGUCACCUGCGACAAGUCCUGCAACUCUUGCACCGGGACCAAUGGCGGGUGAAGAUGUCCAUGUCUGAAUUCGGACAGCGCAGCCUAUCAUACCUUGGGCACGUCAUCAGUGACCGUGGGGUAUCCAUAGAACCUACGAAGAUCCAAGCAGUGUCCAACUGGACGACACCAUCAGAUGUCAAGGCGGUCCGCAGCUUCUUGGGACUAGCUGGGUACUAUCGAAGAUUCGUCAAGAACUUCGGAAUCAUAGCUCGGCCACUAUUCAAUCUUCUCAAAAAAGGGGCACCAUUCGUCUGGACACCAGCCACCGACACAGCAUUCCAGCUGCUCAAGCAACAUCUGAUCGAAGCACCAGUUCUGGCACUGCCCAACUUCGCCAAACCUUUCGUGAUCGAGACCGACGCACGUGACAAAGGGAUAGGGGCGGUACUGCAGCAGGAGGGUCACCCGAUCGCUUACAUGAGCAAAGCUCUGAGCCCCCGAUACCAAGGUCUCUCGACCUAUGAGAAAGAAUAUUUGGCAGUCAUUGUAGCUGUCGACCAGUGGCGCCCAUAUCUCCAGCAUGCGGAGUUUACCAUACUCACUGAUUAG